GACAGAGGGUGCGAACGUUGUUCGGAAUUACUGGGCGUAAAGCGCAUGUAGGCGGCCAAGCAGGUCGGAUGUGAAAUCCCUCGGCUCAACCAAGGAAGUGCAUUCGAAACCGCAUGGCUGGAGUCCCGGAGAGGAAGGUGGAAUUCUCGGUGUAGAGGUGAAAUUCGUAGAUAUCGAGAGGAACACCGGUGGCGAAAGCGGCCUUCUGGACGAGGACUGACGCUGAGAUGCGAAAGCGUGGGGAGCAAACAGG
rnacentral:rRNA from 1 species